rnacentral:tRNA from 1 species
GGGGUUGUGGCUCAGCGGUAUAGCGCUCUCCUUGCACGUGUGAGACCCUGGGUUCCAUCCUCAGCACCACA